AGAAGAUAUAAUCGUAUUGGCGAUUGAAAACAAGGAAGCUGUACAAAUUUUGAAAAGAAAAUGUGCGUAGUGGACUUGUGCUUUGCAAAUUCGUUUUGGAAUGUGUUUCUCGUUCUUAUCUGACAUGUCCAGCCUUAUGAGUGACCGCAAGUAUAGAAGAGACAUCUAGCAUAUUUUUGCCUUAAGAUGCCUGAACUGAAGGUCACUCCCUUGGGUGCUGGCCAGGAUGUGGGCCGCAGCUGUAUACUCCUUACUAUCGGUGGGAAGAACAUCAUGUUGGACUGUGGAAUGCACAUGGGUUAUAAUGAUGAUAGGCGAUUUCCAGAUUUUUCUUACAUUACUCAAAAUGGGAGGCUGACUGAGUUUUUGGACUGCAUAAUAAUCAGGUAAACAUUU